AGUGGUGAUAGAGGUGCGGACUUUCAUCAGUAGAUGCUUCGAGGAGUAUGGGCUCUUAUGAAGGGUAUCGAAAGGGAAAUUCGCCGAAGUGGAAGCAGGCUCAUAUCUGUUUGCGCUGGUUCUGUGUUUAAGAGAUGCAGGAUUGUCAAGAUUAACAGUCUUGGAGAGCUAUCUCACGU
rnacentral:ncRNA from 14 species